rnacentral:lncRNA from 1 species
GCCCGGAAAGGGUGGAGCACAACGUCGAAAGCAGCCGUUGGGAGCCCAGGAGGCGGGGCGCCUGUGGGAGCCGUGGAGGGAACUUUCCCAGUCCCCGAGGCGGAUCCGGUGUUGCAUCCUUGGAGCGAGCUGAGAGCUCGAGAACCUGCUAAGGCCAUCAAACCUAUUGAUCGGAAGUCAGUCCAUCAGAUUUGCUCUGGGCCGGUGGUACCGAGUCUAAGCACUGCGGUGAAGGAGUUAGUAGAAAACAGUCUGGAUGCUGGUGCCACUAAUAUUGAUCUAAAGCUUAAGGACUAUGGAGUGGAUCUCAUUGAAGUUUCAGGCAAUGGAUGUGGGGUAGAAGAAGAAAACUUCGAAGGCUUAACUCUGAAACAUCACACAUCUAAGAUUCAAGAGUUUGCCGACCUACCUCAGGUUGAAACUUUUGGCUUUCGGGGGGAAGCUCUGAGCUCACUUUGUGCACUGAGAAACGUGCCUGCUUCCCCUUCGCCUUCUGCCGUGAUUGUCAGUUUCCUGAGGCCUCCCCAGCCAUGCUUCCUGUACAGCCUGCAGAACUGACUCCUAGAAGUACCCCACCCCACCCCUGCUCCUUGGAGGACAACGUGAUCACUGUAUUCAGCUCUGUCAAGAAUGGUCCAGGUUCUUCUAGAUGAUCUGCACAAAUGGCUCCUCUCCUCCUUCCUGAUGUCUGCCAUUAGCACUGGAAUAAAGUUCCUGCUGAAAAUCCACA